GUUUCAUAUAGAAGCCUGCAGGUGAUGUUAGAGAGCUAUGAAGGCAGAGAUACGGAACACCUUCUGCAAUGGUGGGAUAAAUCUACGGAGGAGGAAACUCGCCCUGAAGCUGAGGAAUCAUUGUGAUUAUGCCUCAAUUCGACAAGUUUAUGCCUCAAAUCGUUCCCUGGAAUAAAAAUUAUAAAAGAGAAUGUCAUAUUGACUACUAAUUGUUAUCGUAGUCCUGUCAGCAUGGUCAGAGACGGAGAUUUUUUUUCUUGUAUAAGGGGGCAGAAAACACCAGAACAACUUUUUGAAUUGGAAUAAAAAUCGAUUUAAGCCUUGGAUAUGCAACUAAUAAGUAAAAUGCGCAAAUAUUCCAACUUUUUUCCCUGUAGGGCUUUUUUUUUACAUCAUAGAUUCGCCAAAGCGUAAUUGCGAAUUGCGUGGAAAUAUGCCCUCCUCCAUCUUUGAAUUCGCUAAGUGAAUUCAAAAACACAAAUGAAAUAAAAUAUUAAUAAAGUUGUGUUUGUUUUUUUGUUAAUUUAUUUUUACCCGAUAUACGCUCAGCUUUUUAAGUAUUUACUUUUUAAUUUUCUGUUAGAAGAAAUGUAUACGAGAUAUAUUAAUUUCUUAAUCAUGCGAUGUUUCGACAUAAUUCCCAAUAGAUUUCAUUAGAAAAAAAAACAAAUUUAAGGUAAAUGAUUUUGUAUUUUGUUUAUAUUGGUUACGGAUACACGAAUCAGUCAGUAUUCAAACUUUUUUUUAAUGAAUUCAUAUUGUUUUAUUUGCUAUAAUAUUGAUUGACCACAGCUCACAUUAGGGUGGACCUGGCCUUGAAAUCAAUCAUUAAAUCAUUGAAAUCACGAUAAGAUUGGAAAGCAGUUUGUUAAAUGCUACAUUAAUUUUGUACAUGCUUAAUUAUUUCAAGCUUUGCUUUUCCAUUUUCAAUCAAUAAAUAGCGUUCGCUUAUCAAGUUUGUGCAAUAGAAUGUUUUUUUUACUCUGUUUGUUAGAAAAUGGAAAGGAAAAAUUAAUUUCCUAAUUAGUUCAAAUGCAUUGAUUGAUUGAUUUUUGUUAUCUAUUGGAUUGAAAAAAAUAUAUAUUUGUAUAUUAGAGCAAUAUAUUAAUAGAACCAAAGGGGUCUUCUUUAUUAUAGGAAUAUCGUCAUCAUCAACAUCAUCAUCAUCAUCACCAUCAUAACCUUUAUCACUGUUGUUGUCGUCAUCAUUACCGUCAUCGUUGUCAUGUCAUCAUCAUUUGAAUGAUUUUAUUUUAUUUCAUUUUCUAAUUUCAACUUAAGUACAUUCCGUUGGUAUUCAAAACGUUUGAAAGGAAUAGGUGAAUUUAGGUGAUAGCCUACUAAAAUAUCAAUGAGGACCCCGAUGGACCCCCAUGCAGGGGCCGCGGAACCGGGGGGGGGGGGGCUGGGGGGGCUUCAGCCCCCCCCCCCCCCCACUUUUUUCCAAAACCGUGUACAAAAACGUAAAAAUGACCAUAUGAUUGUGAUUUUUAGCAUGGUCAGCCCCCCCCUCCACUUUUGGCUCAGCCCCCCCACUUUGAAAACCGUUCCGCGGCCCCUGCCAUGGACUCAUGUCUUAUGGAACACUCUCUCAAUAACUCAUUGACAAAUUUUGGCAUUGUCUAUUCUAUGAAGAGGGUAAAAUCGAGAUUUAAAAAAUCAUGUUGUGCUUGUAGUCGUGUUAAUUUCGUUUGAGAGCUAUGUAUGAUAAUGAUAGUAAGCAAAAAACAAACACAAACCCAUUCCCUUAACAAACUGUGUUCAAAGAAAAACGAUUUUUUUUCUUGAAUAUAAUAUCAUGUAUUAUAUAAUAAUACAUACAGGCCCCGAAACCGGUCCCAUAAUGGGCCCCAUUGCACACUGUUAAUUUGUAUUUAAUUUGUCUGUUUUAAUUUAAAAUGAAUAAAACUUUUUAUAAUUUAAAGGUA